rnacentral:rRNA from 1 species
UGGGGAAUAUUGGACAAUGGGGGCAACCCUGAUCCAGCCAUGCCGCGUGAGUGAUGAAGGCCUUCGGGUUGUAAAGCUCUUUUGGCGGGGACGAUGAUGACGGUACCCGCAGAAUAAGCCCCGGCUAACUUCGUGCCAGCAGCCGCGGUAAGACGAAGGGGGCUAGCGUUGUUCGGAAUUACUGGGCGUAAAGCGCGUGUAGGCGGUUGCCCAAGUCGGAUGUGAAAGCCUUGAGCUCAACUCAAGAAAUGCAUUCGGUACUGGGUGACUAGAGGACCGGAGAGGAUAGUGGAAUUCCCAGUGUAGUGGUGAAAUACGUAGAGAUUGGGAAGAACACCAGUGGCGAAGGCGGCUAUCUGGACGGUUUCUGACGCUAAGACGCGAAAGCGUGGGGAGCAAACAGGAUUAGAUACCCUGGUAGUCCUAGCCCUAAACGAUGGAUGCUUGGUGUGGCCGGUACCCAAUCCGGCUGUGCCGAAGCUAACGCGAUAAGC